UACGUAGGGUGCAAGCGUUGUCCGGAAUUAUUGGGCGUAAAGAGCUCGUAGGCGGUCUGUUGCGUCGGCUGUGAAAACCCGGGGCUCAACCCCGGGCCUGCAGCCGAUACGGGCAGACUAGAGUUCGGCAGGGGAGACUGGAAUUCCUGGUGUAGCGGUGAAAUUCGUAGAUAUCGGGAGGAACACCAGUGGCGAAGGCGGCGAUCUGGGCAGACACUGACGCUGAGGUGCGAAAGCGUGGGGAGCAAACAGG
rnacentral:rRNA from 1 species